rnacentral:rRNA from 1 species
GAUGAACGCUAGCUACAGGCUUAACACAUGCAAGUCGAGGGACCGGCGCACGGGUGAGUAACACGUAUCCAACCUGCCCUUUACUCGGGGAUAGCCUUUCGAAAGAAAGAUUAAUACCCGAUAUAAAGGAUGGGGAUGCGUUCCAUUAAGUUGUUGGUGAGGUAACGGCUCACCAAGCCUUCGAUGGAUAGGGGUUCUGAGAGGAAGGUCCGCCACAGUUGAACUGUGACGAGGUGCAGACGCACACGCGAGGCAGCUGUGAGGAAGAGUGGUCAAUGGGCGUUAGCCUGAACCAGGCAAGUAGGUUGAAGGAUGAAGGGUUAUGGGUCGGAAAUUUCUUUUAUAUAAGAAUAUGUAUUAUAUGAAGAAGGAUAGGCGCACUCCGGGCCAGCCGCCGCGGUAAUAC